rnacentral:rRNA from 1 species
CGAAACCUGCCCAGCAGAACGACCCGCGAACGCGUCACCGAGCGCGGGACGGUAGCGUCGAGAGGCGCGGCCUCCCCGUUCCGCCUGGGAUGUCAAAACCCCCGGGAGGAAAAACACAAGACCCGGCGUUCGAUGCGCCAAGGAAACGUAAUACGGAAUAGCGAACCCCGCGCAGGGGAACGCAUCCGGAACUUUUGAA